GAUCCUGGCUCAGGAUGAACGCUAGCGACAGGCUUAACACAUGCAAGUCGAGGGGCAGCAUGAGGUAGCAAUACCUUGAUGGCGACCGGCGCACGGGUGAGUAACGCGUAUGCAACCUGCCCGAUACCGGGGUAUAGCCCAUGGAAACGUGGAUUAACACCCCAUAGUACUUUUAUCCUGCAUGGGAUGUGAGUUAAAUGUUCAAGGUAUCGGAUGGGCAUGCGUCCUAUUAGUUUAG
rnacentral:rRNA from 1 species